UACAGAGGGAGCAAGCGUUGUUCGGAUUUACUGGGCGUAAAGAGCGUGUAGGCGGCCAAACAGGUCCGUUGUGAAAACUGGAGGCUCAACUUCCAGACGUCGACGGAAACCGUUUGGCUAGAGUCCGGAAGAGGAGAGUGGAAUUCCUGGUGUAGCGGUGAAAUGCGCAGAUAUCAGGAGGAACACCAAUGGCGAAGGCAGCACUCUGGGACGUGACUGACGCUGAGACGCGAAAGCGUGGGGAGCAAACAGG
rnacentral:rRNA from 1 species